GGGUUGUGAGGUUAAGCGACUAAGCGUACACGGUGGAUGCCCUGGCAGUCAGAGGCGAUGAAGGACGUGCUAAUCUGCGAUAAGCGUCGGUAAGGUGAUAUGAACCGUUAUAACCGGCGAUUUCCGAAUGGGGAAACCCAGUGUGAUUCGUCACACUAUCAUUAACUGAAUCCAUAGGUUAAUGAGGCGAACCGGGGGAACUGAAACAUCUAAGUACCCCGAGGAAAAGAAAUCAACCGAGAUUCCCCCAGUAGCGGCGAGCGAACGGGGAGGAGCCCAGAGCCUGAAUCAGUGUGUGUGUUAGUGGAAGCGUCUGGAAAGGCGCGCGAUACAGGGUGACAGCCCCGUACACAAAAAUGCACAUGCUGUGAGCUCGAUGAGUAGGGCGGGACACGUGGUAUCCUGUCUGAAUAUGGGGGGACCAUCCUCCAAGGCUAAAUACUCCUGACUGACCGAUAGUGAACCAGUACCGUGAGGGAAAGGCGAAAAGAACCCCGGCGAGGGGAGUGAAAAAGAACCUGAAACCGUGUACGUACAAGCAGUGGGAGCCUCUUAAUGGGGUGACUGCGUACCUUUUGUAUAAUGGGUCAGCGACUUAUAUUCUGUAGCAAGGUUAACCGAAUAGGGGAGCCGAAGGGAAACCGAGUCUUAACUGGGCGUUAAGUUGCAGGGUAUAGACCCGAAACCCGGUGAUCUAGCCAUGGGCAGGUUGAAGGUUGGGUAACACUAACUGGAGGACCGAACCGACUAAUGUUGAAAAAUUAGCGGAUGACUUGUGGCUGGGGGUGAAAGGCCAAUCAAACCGGGAGAUAGCUGGUUCUCCCCGAAAGCUAUUUAGGUAGCGCCUCGUGAAUUCAUCUCCGGGGGUAGAGCACUGUUUCGGCAAGGGGGUCAUCCCGACUUACCAACCCGAUGCAAACUGCGAAUACCGGAGAAUGUUAUCACGGGAGACACACGGCGGGUGCUAACGUCCGUCGUGAAGAGGGAAACAACCCAGACCGCCAGCUAAGGUCCCAAAGUCAUGGUUAAGUGGGAAACGAUGUGGGAAGGCCCAGACAGCCAGGAUGUUGGCUUAGAAGCAGCCAUCAUUUAAAGAAAGCGUAAUAGCUCACUGGUCGAGUCGGCCUGCGCGGAAGAUGUAACGGGGCUAAACCAUGCACCGAAGCUGCGGCAGCGACACUAUGUGUUGUUGGGUAGGGGAGCGUUCUGUAAGCCUGUGAAGGUGGCCUGUGAGGGUUGCUGGAGGUAUCAGAAGUGCGAAUGCUGACAUAAGUAACGAUAAAGCGGGUGAAAAGCCCGCUCGCCGGAAGACCAAGGGUUCCUGUCCAACGUUAAUCGGGGCAGGGUGAGUCGACCCCUAAGGCGAGGCCGAAAGGCGUAGUCGAUGGGAAACAGGUUAAUAUUCCUGUACUUGGUGUUACUGCGAAGGGGGGACGGAGAAGGCUAUGUUGGCCGGGCGACGGUUGUCCCGGUUUAAGCGUGUAGGCUGGUUUUCCAGGCAAAUCCGGAAAACCAAGGCUGAGGCGUGAUGACGAGGCACUACGGUGCUGAAGCGACAAAUGCCCUGCUUCCAGGAAAAGCCUCUAAGCAUCAGGUAACAUCAAAUCGUACCCCAAACCGACACAGGUGGUCAGGUAGAGAAUACCAAGGCGCUUGAGAGAACUCGGGUGAAGGAACUAGGCAAAAUGGUGCCGUAACUUCGGGAGAAGGCACGCUGAUAUGUAGGUGAAGCGACUUGCUCGUGGAGCUGAAAUCAGUCGAAGAUACCAGCUGGCUGCAACUGUUUAUUAAAAACACAGCACUGUGCAAACACGAAAGUGGACGUAUACGGUGUGACGCCUGCCCGGUGCCGGAAGGUUAAUUGAUGGGGUUAGCGGUAACGCGAAGCUCUUGAUCGAAGCCCCGGUAAACGGCGGCCGUAACUAUAACGGUCCUAAGGUAGCGAAAUUCCUUGUCGGGUAAGUUCCGACCUGCACGAAUGGCGUAAUGAUGGCCAGGCUGUCUCCACCCGAGACUCAGUGAAAUUGAACUCGCUGUGAAGAUGCAGUGUACCCGCGGCAAGACGGAAAGACCCCGUGAACCUUUACUAUAGCUUGACACUGAACAUUGAGCCUUGAUGUGUAGGAUAGGUGGGAGGCUUUGAAGUGUGGACGCCAGUCUGCAUGGAGCCGACCUUGAAAUACCACCCUUUAAUGUUUGAUGUUCUAACGUUGGCCCCUAAUCGGGGUUGCGGACAGUGUCUGGUGGGUAGUUUGACUGGGGCGGUCUCCUCCUAAAGAGUAACGGAGGAGCACGAAGGUUGGCUAAUCCUGGUCGGACAUCAGGAGGUUAGUGCAAUGGCAUAAGCCAGCUUGACUGCGAGCGUGACGGCGCGAGCAGGUGCGAAAGCAGGUCAUAGUGAUCCGGUGGUUCUGAAUGGAAGGGCCAUCGCUCAACGGAUAAAAGGUACUCCGGGGAUAACAGGCUGAUACCGCCCAAGAGUUCAUAUCGACGGCGGUGUUUGGCACCUCGAUGUCGGCUCAUCACAUCCUGGGGCUGAAGUAGGUCCCAAGGGUAUGGCUGUUCGCCAUUUAAAGUGGUACGCGAGCUGGGUUUAGAACGUCGUGAGACAGUUCGGUCCCUAUCUGCCGUGGGCGCUGGAGAACUGAGGGGGGCUGCUCCUAGUACGAGAGGACCGGAGUGGACGCAUCACUGGUGUUCGGGUUGUCAUGCCAAUGGCACUGCCCGGUAGCUAAAUGCGGAAGAGAUAAGUGCUGAAAGCAUCUAAGCACGAAACUUGCCCCGAGAUGAGUUCUCCCUGAGACUUAGAGUCUCCUGAAGGAACGUUGAAGACGACGACGUUGAUAGGCCGGGUGUGUAAGCGCAGCGAUGCGUUGAGCUAACCGGUACUAAUGAACCGUGAGGCUUAACCUUACAACGCCGAAG
rnacentral:rRNA from 1 species